rnacentral:rRNA from 1 species
AAUGUAGAGUUGGUUGUAGCUGGCCCUUGGAUUAAUUUCUUGGGGGCAUGUGCACACCUUCUCUUUCAUCCCACACACACCUGUGAACCUGUGAGAUAGUAGUUGGGGACUUUAAUGGACCCACUUCUGUCUACUUAAUUCAUAUAAAAUCAAUUUAAUUUAAAACGAAUGUAAUGGAUGUAACGCAUCUAAUACUAAGUUUCAACAACGGAUCUCUUGGCUCUCGCAUCGAUGAAGAACGCAGCGAAAUGCGAUAAGUAAUGUGAAUUGCAGAAUUCAGUGAAUCAUCGAAUCUUUGAACGCACCUUGCGCUCCUUGGUAUUCCUUGGAGCAUGCCUGUUUGAGUAUCAUGAAAUCUUCAAAGUAAAUCUUUUUGUUAACUCAAUUGGUUUCUACUUUGGUAUUGGAGGUCUUUGCAGCUUCACACCUGCUCCUCUUUGUUCAUUAGCUGGAUCUCAGUGUUAUGCUUGGUUCCACUCAGCGUGAUAAGUUAUCUAUCGCUGAGGACACUGUAAAAGGUGGCCAAGGUAAAUGCAGAUGAACCGCUUCUAAUAGUCCAUUGACUUGGACAAUAAAUUAAUUUUUAUGAUCUGAUCUCAAAUCAGGUAGGACUACCCGCUGAACUUAA